CCGUUGCCUAGCGACAGGCGAACCGGCGAAUGACGAGCCAGGUGUUUGCGUCAUUCGUCAGACACACCGCCGAAGCGAAAGAGACCGGCCGCGCAUCUGAGCGUUGGACUGUUCGGGAACCCGUCUGCCUGUUUUUCUAUUUUGGGAUUUAGCCUGGUUUGGUGGCCUCCCGGCGAAUUAUUGCGUUGAUUCGGAACUUCGACAUGGCAGCACUGCACUAUUGGACUACGGCAAGCUCACGUCGUCUGGUGGAGCUUCCUGCGGAAACUACUGCUGCUUACCUUGUGCCACAAUGCUGGAUGAAUGCACAAAAAGCCCGCGACGAGCAUUUACAAAGAACAAAAUAAACGUUAAUUUUUCCACAUUUCACAA
rnacentral:lncRNA from 1 species